GACGAACGCUGGCGGCGUGCUUAACACAUGCAAGUCGAACGGAAAGGCCCUGCUUUUGUGGGGUGCUCGAGUGGCGAACGGGUGAGUAACACGUGAGUAACCUGCCCUUGACUUUGGGAUAACUUCAGGAAACUGGGGCUAAUACCGGAUAGGAGCUCCUGCUGCAUGGUGGGGGUUGGAAAGUUUCGGCGGUUGGGGAUGGACUCGCGGCUUAUCAGCUUGUUGGUGGGGUAGUGGCUUACCAAGGCUUUGACGGGUAGCCGGCCUGAGAGGGUGACCGGCCAAGUGGGGACUGGGCUACGACCCGGCCCCCGGGGGGGGCGGGAGGGGGGGAAUGUUGCAGAGGGGGGGGAGCCGUGACCCACCCCCCCCGCGGGGGGGAUGGCGGCUUUGGGUUUGAAACCCUGUUUCCCCUGUGAGAAGGGGGGGGGGGGGUAAGUGGGUAAAGAAGCCCCGGCUAACUCCGUG
rnacentral:rRNA from 1 species